AACGCACAUUGCGCCCUUUGGUAUUCCGAGGGGCAUGCCUGUUCGAGCGUCAUUAUAACCACUCAAGCCUCGGCUUGGUAUUGGGGUUCGCGGUUUCGCGGCCCUUAAAAUCAGUGGCGGUGCCAUCUGGCUCUCAGCGUAGUAGUUUAUCUCGCUAUUGGGUCCGGUGGUUGCUUGCCAAUAACCCCCAACUUCUCACGGUUGACCUCGGAUCAGGUAGGGAUACCCGCUGAACUUAA
rnacentral:misc_RNA from 1 species